AUGGUUUUUGGAACUCCAAUGGGUGAUGAAAAGGAUUCUUGGAAAGUGAAAACCUUGGAUGAAAUCCUUCAGGAAAAGAAACGAAGGAAGGAGCAAGAGGAGAAAGCAGAGAUAAAGCGCAUGAAAAACUCGGAUGAUAGGGAUUCAAAGCGGGAUUCUCUUGAAGAGGGGGAGCUGAGAGAUCACCGCAUGGAGAUCACGAUCCGCAAUUCGCCGUACCGCAGGGAGGACUCCAUGGAGGACAGAGGAGAAGAAGAUGAUUCCUUGGCUAUAAAACCACCACAGCAAAUGUCACGGAAAGAAAAAACCCAUCAUAGAAAAGAUGAGAAGAGGAAAGAGAAACGGAGACACCGCAGUCAUUCAGCAGAAGGGAAACAUGCCAGAGUGAAGGAGAAAGAACGGGAACACGAGCGUAGGAAGAGGCAUAGAGAAGAGCAGGAUAAGGCCCGACGUGAGUGGGAAAGGCAGAAACGGAGAGAAAUGGCGAGGGAGCAUUCCAGGAGGGAGAGAGAUCGUCUGGAGCAACUUGAGAGAGAACGAGAGAGAAAAAUCAGAGAGCAGCAGAAAGAACAAAGGGAGCAAAAAGAGCGUGAGAGGAGAGCUGAAGAAAGGCGUAAGGAGCGGGAAGCCAGAAGAGAAGUUUCUGCACACCAUAGAACAGUGAGGGAAGAAUAUGGAGACAAAGUGAAAAUGAGACCCUGGAGUCGCAGCCCAUUACGACAGCAGAGAGACAAGCCUGAGCAAGCAGAUAGCAGGAAACCAGUGAAAGAAGAGAAACCAGAAGAAAGAGACCCUCUUUCAGACUUGCAAGACAUCAGUGACAGUGAAAGAAAAACAAGCUCAGCUGAGUCUUCAUCAGCAGAGUCUGGGUCAGGCUCAGAAGAAGAGGAAGAAGAGUCGAGCAGUGAAGGAUCUGAGGAAGAGGGAGAAGAAGAGGAGGAGGAGGAGGAGGAGACAGGGAGCAAUUCUGAGGAGGUGUCUGAGCAGUCAGCUGAAGAGGUGAGCGAAGAAGAAAUGAGUGAAGAGGAAGAACGAGAGAAUGGAAACCACAUCCCAGUUGUUACAGAGUCGAGGUUUGAUCGCGAUUCAGCGGGCAGUGAGGUUGAGGAAGAGGAGGUGGGGGAGGGCAGCCCUCAGUCCAACGCCAUGACGGAAGGAGACUAUGUUCCUGACUCACCUGCUUCUUCCCCUAUUGAACUGAAACAGGAGCUUCCUAAAUAUCUUCCUGCACUUCAGGGGUGUCGUAGUGUGGAGGAGUUUCAGUGUUUGAACAGGAUUGAAGAGGGAACAUACGGUGUGGUGUACAGAGCAAAAGACAAAAAGACUGAUGAAAUUGUGGCUCUGAAGCGACUGAAAAUGGAGAAGGAAAAGGAAGGCUUCCCCAUUACUUCUCUCAGAGAAAUAAAUACUAUUCUGAAAGCACAACACCUAAAUAUCGUCACAGUCAGAGAAAUCGUUGUAGGUAGUAAUAUGGAUAAAAUCUAUAUUGUUAUGAACUACGUAGAACAUGAUCUCAAGAGUCUGAUGGAAACAAUGAAGCAACCAUUUCUACCAGGUGAAGUGAAAACCUUGAUGAUCCAGUUACUACGAGGAGUCAAGCAUCUUCAUGACAACUGGAUACUUCACCGGGACUUGAAAACUUCCAACCUGCUGCUCAGUCAUUCAGGAAUUUUAAAGGUUGGAGAUUUUGGAUUGGCCCGAGAAUAUGGAUCUCCUCUGAAGCCUUACACACCAGUGGUGGUGACACUUUGGUACAGGGCUCCGGAGUUGUUGCUUGGAGCCAAGGAAUAUUCAACAGCGAUAGACAUGUGGUCAGUAGGGUGUAUCUUUGGAGAACUCUUAACUCAGAAACCACUGUUUCCAGGGAAGUCGGAAAUUGAUCAGAUUAACAAAGUUUUUAAGGAUCUAGGUACUCCAAGUGAAAAAAUCUGGCCUGGUUACAAUGAGCUGCCAGCAGUGAAGAAGAUGACAUUCACGGAAUAUCCCUACAAUAAUCUACGCAAGAGAUUUGGAGCACUCCUCUCUGAUCAGGGCUUUGAUCUAAUGAACAACUUUUUGACGUACUACCCAGCCAGAAGAAUUACUGCUGAAGAUGGUUUGAAGCACGAGUAUUUCCGUGAGACUCCCCUUCCUAUUGACCCCUCCAUGUUUCCUACAUGGCCAGCCAAAAGUGAACAACAAAGGGUGAAACGUGGCACCAGCCCCCGCCCACCCGAGGGAGGCCUUGGCUACAGUCAGUUGGGCGAUGAUGAUCUGAAAGACACCGGUUUUCAUCUGACCACCACGAAUCAAGGAGCAUCUGCUGCUGGGCCUGGAUUCAGCCUCAAGUUUUAAACUCAGUGAGAAGAGGGAAAAAAAGAGAACCGUUCACGUGAGUGGAUUUCUGAGUGCCCCAGUUCUGUUCUUCACGUCAGGGAAACUAGAUGGUUUUCACCGGGGUAAAGUCAAAUGUCAUCCCAGAUUCAAAGACUUUUGCUGGGUGUGGAGUAUAACUGCUGCAUUCCAUUAGAGGACUGGAAUUAACAGGAAAAGCCAACGAUCGUUAUAAAAUUUGACAAAGGAAAACUUGAAGUACAAUCCUUGAUCUCUUUUUUUCCUUUUUUUUUUUUUUUUGUUUCUUCUUGCUUUUCUCCUUGUAAAUUUGUAGAAUUAAAAUACGUUUUUAAUUGUUUAACAGCGUGAAGGAUGUCAUUUCCUCACAUGCAGCAAACGUGGAUGUUGGUGGCAUUAAGUCUUCUAGAGUGGAAAUAGCUCCUCCUAGAAUGCUGACCUAUUCUGCAAUACAUGAGAUGCUUAAGGUAGGAAGAAACGUGUUUGAAGAGAUUAAGACAGCAACUAGAAAUGGACGAACCAAAGCAGAGAAUGAUGUAGGCUGCCUUAAUACUGGAUAAGGAUCUUUCAGGUACUCAUUAAAUACAAUGACUGUCAGGGUUUGUAACUGCACAAGUGAAUUCCCAACUGAUAGAUG